rnacentral:tRNA from 1 species
GUCCCCGUAGUUCAAUGGAUAGAACGCAUGGUUGCGGUCCAUGUGGUUGGGCGUUCGACUCGCCCCGGGGGCG